CCUACGGGAGGCAGCAGUGGGGAAUAUUGGACAAUGGGGGCAACCCUGAUCCAGCCAUGCCGCGUGUGUGAAGAAGGCCCUCGGGUUGUAAAGCACUUUCAGUGAGGAAGAACGCCUGGUGGUUAAUACCCAUCAGGAAAGACAUCACUCACAGAAGAAGCACCGGCUAACUCCGUGCCAGCAGCCGCGGUAAUACGGAGGGUGCGAGCGUUAAUCGGAAUUACUGGGCGUAAAGCGCGCGUAGGUGGCUUGAUAAGCCGGUUGUGAAAGCCCCGGGCUCAACCUGGGAACGGCAUCCGGAACUGUCAAGCUAGAGUGCAGGAGAGGAAGGUAGAAUUCCCGGUGUAGCGGUGAAAUGCGUAGAGAUCGGGAGGAAUACCAGUGGCGAAGGCGGCCUUCUGGACUGACACUGACACUGAGGUGCGAAAGCGUGGGUAGCAAACAGGAUUAGAUACCCCAGUAGU
rnacentral:rRNA from 1 species